rnacentral:lncRNA from 1 species
UCAAAUUCUUUAAAUCUUGAUUACUAGAUUCUCAUUUUCCCUGGAAAGUUGUAUACCAGAAUUUAUGGACUCAUUUUCUUACAUCCAAGAACCCUGAAAAAUAAAAGCAAUCGCAUGUCAAGUACUUUAUGAAAACUACAUUAAUCAAUGAUGAGAAGUGAAGAUUAGAAAAAAAGGGAAUCGCAAGCCUCCCGGUCACAGAUAGAUGCAAUCAUUCAUUAAAGUACAGGUGGAAUGCUAAUUGCCAAGACAGAUGGUGCAGAAUGCCCAAUUUUCAUUUGCCCUGUACAGUAAGUGCAUCACAAGUGUAAAGUUUGGACAACAAUUCCAUAAAACAAUCACAACUGCUUACGACACUCUAAAUCACACUUGUCUGGUGAUUUGGUGGCUGGAUGCUAUGACAAAUUGACAUCUCUUUUGCAUUUCGGGUUAGUUUUCUCUCCUGUAGUAAUUAUAUUUUCUUGAUCGGUUUGAAGUUUAGAUAAAUCAUCCGAACUAGAAUGAAAAGAUUCAGAAAUUGAUACAUAUUGUGUCCCAGUGGAUUAUACCCCUGGAAUAAUAAUUCAAUGGAGGAAGCUCAAGGAUGUGAUUGAGGUUGAACAUGGAAAGGGAAACUUCCCACGAGAGAGGAAU